GGGGGCGUAACGGGUUCGACGGGGGCAGUAAGGCUGGAAUAGCGGGCCGUGGCGCCUGACCACGAUAAAACGGGUAACUUUCUAAAUUUAACUGACAACAAUACUGUUGCAAUGGCCGCCUGAGGGCUGCCCAUCCUCCCCGGAAGGUUCACGAGCCGGGUGCAGGGUGUGAUUUGAGUGAAGAACGUGCGUGCGCAAAGCUUUGCGCGCACCAUGAAUUAUGAAGCUACCAAGUCCCGUAGGGUGUUUGUUCCCGACGGGAUAAGGGAAUGUAAAUAACAAACUGCGCCCGGAGAGGUUCUUUCCAAGCUGUUCUCGGACACGGGUUCAAUUCCCGUCGCCUCCACCA
rnacentral:tmRNA from 1 species